CGCAAUGGGCAAAAGCCUGACGGAGCAACGCCGCGUGAGUGAUGACGGCCUUCGGGUUGUAAAACUCUGUGAUCCGGGACGAAAAGGCAGAGUGCGAAGAACAAACUGCAUUGACGGUACCGGAAAAGCAAGCCACGGCUAACUACGUGCCAGCAG
rnacentral:rRNA from 1 species